rnacentral:rRNA from 1 species
UACGUAGGAGGCAAGCGUUGUCCGGAAUUACUGGGCGUAAAGCGCGUGUAGGUGGUGGGACAGGUCUGCUGUGAAAGUGCCUGGCUUAACCGGGCGAGGUCGGCGGAAACUGUCCGACUCGAGGACGGUAGAGGGGGGUGGAAUUCCCGGUGUAGUGGUGAAAUGCGUAGAGAUCGGGAGGAACACCUGUGGCGAAGGCGGCCCCCUGGGCCGGCCCUGACACUGAGACGCGAAGGCGUGGGGAGCGAACGGG